rnacentral:rRNA from 1 species
AGCGAACGCUGGCGGCAGGCCUAACACAUGCAAGUCGAACGAACCCUUCGGGGUUAGUGGCGGACGGGCGAGUAACACGUGGGAACGUACCUUUAGGUUCGGAAUAACUCAGGGAAACUUGUGCUAAUACCGAAUGUGCCCUUCGGGGGAAAGAUUUAUCGCCUUUAGAGCGGCCCGCGUCUGAUUAGCUAGUUGGUGAGGUAAUGGCUCACCAAGGCUACGAUCAGUAGCUGGUCUGAGAGGAUGACCAGCCACAUUGGGACUGAGACACGGCCCAAACUCCUACGGGAGGCAGCAGUGGGGAAUCUUGCGCAAUGGGCGAAAGCCUGACGCAGCCAUGCCGCGUGGAUGAUGAAGGUCUUAGGAUUGUAAAAUCCUUUCACCGGUGAAGAUAAUGACUGUAGCCGGAGAAGAAGCCCCGGCUAACUUCGUGCCAGCAGCCGCGGUAAAAC